rnacentral:rRNA from 1 species
UAGGGAAUCUUCAGCAAUGGGGGGAACCCUGACCGAGCAACGCCGCGUGAGUGAAGAAGGUUUUCGGAUCGUAAAGCUCUGUUGUUAAGGAAGAACGAGUGUGAGAAUGGAAAGUUCAUGCUGUGACGGUACUUAACCAGAAAGGGACGGCUAACUACGUGCCAGCAGCCGCGGUAAUACGUAGGUCCCGAGCGUUGUCCGGAUUUAUUGGGCGUAAAGCGAGCGCAGGCGGUUAGAAAAGUCUGAAGUGAAAGGCAGUGGCUCAACCAUUGUAGGCUUUGGAAACUGUUUAACUUGAGUGCAGAAGGGGGGGGUGGAAUUCCAUGUGUAGCGGUGAAAUGCGUAGAUAUAUGGAGGAACACCGGUGGCGAAAGCGGCUCUCUGGUCUGUAACUGACGCUGAGGCUCGAAAGCGUGGGGAGCGAACAGG